rnacentral:rRNA from 1 species
GAUGAACGCUAGCGGCAGGCCUAAUACAUGCAAGUCGGACGGGAUCCAUUGAUAGCUUGCUAUCAAUGGUGAGAGUGGCGCCCGUGUGCGUCACGCGUGAGCAACCUGCCUCCAUCAGGGGGAUCGCCUCUCGAAAGAGAGAUUAACACCGCAUAAUAUCAACAGUUCGCAUGUUCAGUUGAUUAAAUCUUUAUAGGAUGGACAUGGGCUCGCGUGACAUUAGUUAGUUGGUAGGGUAACGGCUUACCAAGGCGACGAUGUCUAGGGGCUCUGAGAGGAGAAUCCCCCACACUGGUACUGAGACACGGACCAGACUCCUACGGGAGGCAGCAGUAAGGAAUAUUGGGCAAUGGGCGGAAGCCUGAACCAGCCAUGCCGCGUGCAGGAUGACUGCCCUAUGGGUUGUAAACUGCUGUUGACCAGGAAUAAACCUAAAUACGAGUAUUUAGCUGAAUGUACUGGAAGAAUAAGGAUCGGCUAACUCCGUG